UACGGAGGAUCCAAGCGUUAUCCGGAAUCAUUGGUUGUUAAAGGGUCCGUAGGCGGUUUGGUAAGUCAGUGGUGAAAGCCCAUCGCUCAACGGUGGAACGGCCAUUGAUACUGCCAGACUUGAAUUAUUAGGAAGUAACUAGAAUAUGUAGUGUAGCGGUGAAAUGCUUAGAGAUUACAUGGAAUACCAAUUGCGAAGGCAGGUUACUACUAAUGGAUUGACGCUGAUGGACGAAAGCGUGGGUAGCGAACAGG
rnacentral:rRNA from 1 species